rnacentral:rRNA from 1 species
CCCUUAGAUGUUCUGGGCUGCACGCGCGCUACACUGAAGCGUUCAACGAGUAUUCACCUUGCCCGGGAGGGUUGGGUAAUCUUUUGAAAACGCUUCGUGAUGGGGAUAGAUUAUUGCAAUUAUUAAUCUUCAACGAGGAAUUCCUAGUAAGCGCGAGUCAUCAGCUCGUGCUGAUUACGUCCCUGCCCUUUGUACACACCGCCCGUCGCUCCUACCGAUUGAGUGAUUUAGUGAGGACUUCGGACUGGGACCGACGCGGCUUUCGGGCUGCGUCGGUAUUCUGGAAAGAUGUCCAAACUGUAUCAUUUAGAGGAAGUAAAAGUCGUAACA